rnacentral:rRNA from 1 species
ACGCUGGCGGCGUGCUUAAUACAUGCAAGUCAACUUGACUUUAGAUAGCAAUAUCGAAAAGUAGGGUGCGCACGGGUGCGUAACGCGUAGGUAAUCUGCCCUGAGGUCUGACAUAACCCGUCGAAAGGCGGGCUAACAUCAGAUGAUAUAUAAUCACGACAUCGUGGAAAUAUCAAAUCUUCGGAGCCUUGGGAUGAGCCUGCGUCUGAUUAGGUAGUUGGCGGAGUAAUAGCCCACCAAGCCUACGAUCAGUAGCUGGUCUGAGAGGAUGAUCAGCCACACUGGAACUGAGACACGGUCCAGACUCCUACGGGAGGCAGCAGUAAGGAAUAUUGCUCAAUGGGGGAAACCCUGAAGCAGCAACGCCGCGUGAAGGAUGAAAUACUUUUGUAUGUAAACUUCUGUAAGAUGGGAAAAAUAUUCUCCUCGGGAGAAUUGAUUGUACCAUCAGAGCAAGCCCCGGCUAACUACGUG